GGUUAUUUUUAUUUUAUUAUAUAUAUGUAUUUUUGCAACCCCAUAAACAGAGAGCAAAUCUAGUUUAGGAUCUUAAUCGAUUUCCCCUUUGGUACAAGAAAAUGGCCCAAAAAUUAUUCAUUUUCAAGAGGUCAUCAGGCAAUUUGCUUUGAUAGGGUUACUGCAAUCUUUUGUGUCUCGCUUUGAGCUUGAACCUGGUAUUCAUUCUUUUAGGCAUUUUGUCUGGAAGGGACUGAGUUUAGGAUCAUGAUUGCAGAAGAGAAAUUUUGUUUCGAUACGAGUAAUCACGUGGUCUGUUUGGAAAAUUUAAUCAAGAAUGGAGGUGUGGACAAUGAAAUAUUUGGAAGAAUUCAUAUUGUUGGUAUGGGUGGAAUAGGAAAUAUAACUCAUCGGAACUGCUCUUUCUCGUUUAAAACAUCAUUUCGAUCCCUUUUUAAAGAAUAUUGUAGCAACUUGAUUUAUCAAGGAGCAACUCGUACUAGUCGUGAUAUGAUGUGCUUCACCACUCACGGAAAGAGAGAAACCAGUAAAAAUAGGCACAAACUUUCCAUGGAAAGGAAGUCGUGAACAAAAACUUGAGAUCUUGGCUCUAGUUACAAGUAUUGUCAUCAUCUCAAGUUGCGUGCUUCCUCCAUCAUUACCAUCACUGUAUAGUACGAGAACUUAGAGGUAUCUAUGUUAAGGUUUUGUUUCUUGGAUACCCAUAUCAAUAAGUAUUUAUUUACCAUGAGAAGAAAGGAGGAUAGAGAAUAUCAUUGUGAGUUAUCCAAUAUAAAUUUGUCAAGAGAUAGAGAGGAAUUAUUCAAAUGCUACUAAGAAUAUUAGCUGGAAUCAUGUGUAUUAGCUGAAGUAACUGUUAAGGGUGAAAGGAGAAGCAACUUGGAAAACUUUCAUGGAAUGGGGAUAAGGUGGAUGCAAUACUAUUAAGGAAGAGAAAGAAGCUAAAUUUUGUUCUUUGUGCUGUCCAAAUAUAAGUCCUCAUUGUUGGAAAAGUGCGAUGGUUAAACAAAACCAGUAGUGCAAUGGCGAGUUCGAAUAUAUAUUGAGAAGUGAAGAUUCUCAUUCAAUUUUCCUCAUGAAGUGCUUUCAUGGUGGUCUGGAUUAUUUUCUGGAAGUCACGAGCCCUUUGCCAAUUGAGUUUGCCAUGCUUUCUUGAUGGUGAUCUAAUAAUCUUGGAAAAGAACCCGACAAUAACAUCAGCAUGACAACUUCAGACUUCAUGUUUACAAGAAUGGUAUUAGUGUUUUUAAUUUCUGGGGGAGGGUUCUUAAAUGCAUGUUGAACAUGUAUAUUUCUUUCUCCUUGUUUUCCCUUUUAUGGAAAUGCCAUUUGAAUAUAUUUGGAUAUUGCUUUAGUAGGCCGGUUCAUCUUUUUUAGUC